CAAUAGCGUAUAUUAAAGUUGUUGCGGUUAAAAGCUCGUAGUUGGAUUUCUGUUGAGGUCGGGCGGUGUGCACCUCGUGCAUUAUUUGCUUCGGUCUCGGCAUCCUCCUGGGGAACGUUUAGGACUUUAUUGGACUAGGCGAGAUUCAGGACUUUUACUUUGAGGAAAUUAGAGUGUUCACGGCAAGCAAGCGCGGUAAUACAUUAGCAUGGAAUAAUAAUAUAGGACCUUCGUUCUAUUUUGUUGGUUUCUAGAACUUAGGUAAUGAUUAAUAGGGACAAUUGGGGGCAUUCGUAUUAACGCGUCAGAGGUGGAAUUCUUGGAUUGCGUUACGACGAACUACUGCGAAAGCAUUUGCCAAAGAUGUUUUUCAUUGAUCAAGAACGAAAGUAUGGGGAUCGAAGAUGAUUAGAU
rnacentral:rRNA from 1 species